rnacentral:rRNA from 1 species
GCAUAUCAAUAAGCGGAGGAAAAGAAACCAACAGGGAUUGCCCUAGUAACGGCGAGUGAAGCGGCAACAGCUCAAAUUUGAAAUCUGGCUUCGGCCCGAGUUGUAAUUUGCAGAGGAUGUUUYUGGCGCGGUGCCUUCCGAGUUCCCUGGAACGGGACGCCACAGAGGGUGAGAGCCCCGUAUGGUUGGACACCAAGCCUGUGUGAAACUCCUUCGACGAGUCGAGUAGUUUGGGAAUGCUGCUCAAAAUGGGAGGUAAAUCUCUUCUAAAGCUAAAUACCGGCCAGAGACCGAUAGCGCACAAGUAGAGUGAUCGAAAGAUGAAAAGCACCUUGAAAAGGGGGUUAAACAGUACGUGAAAUUGUUGAAAGGGAAGCGCUUGUGACCAGACUUGCGCCGGGCGGUUCAUCCGGGGUUCUCCCCGGUGCACUCCGCCCGGCUCAGGCCAGCAUCGGUUUUCGUUGGGGGAUAAGAACGGCAGGAACGUGGCCCUCCUUCGGGUGGGUGUUAUAGCCUGCCGUACGAUACCCUGACGGGGACCGAGGUUCGCGCUCCGCAAGGAUGCUGGCGUAAUGGUCAUCAGCGACCCGUCUUGAAACACGGACCAAGGAGUCGUCCAUUAGAGCGAGCGUUUGGGUGUCAAACCCGCACGCGUAAUGAAAGUGAAAUUAGGUGAGAGCUUCGGCGCAUCAUCGACCGAUCCUGAUGUUCUCGGAUGGAUUUGAGUAAGAGUUUUAACGGACGGACCCGAAAGACAGUGAACUAUGCUUGUAUAGGGUGAAGCCAGAGGAAACUCUGGUGGAGGCUCGCAGCGGUUCUGACGUGCAAAUCGAUCGUCAAAUAUGAGCAUGGGGGCGAAAGACUAAUCGAACUGUCUAGUAGCUGGUUACCGCC